rnacentral:rRNA from 1 species
UACAGAGGGUGCGAGCGUUAAUCGGAAUUACUGGGCGUAAAGCGUGCGUAGACGGUAGCGUAAGUCAGAUGUGAAAGCCCCGGGCUCAACCUGGGAACUGCAUUUGAGACUGCUCUGCUCGGGUGCGGAAGAGGGAAGCGGAAUUUCCGGUGUAGCGGUGAAAUGCGUAGAUAUUCGGAAGAACACCAGUGGCGAAGGCGACUUACUGGACACAUAUUGACGCUGAGGUGCGAAAGCGUGGGGAGCAAACAGG